UCUUACUACAAAAAAGAAAUGGUAAUGAUUUUAAAUGAGAAGUUGACUAAGGACCCCAAUCAAAAGCCAGUUGCGAUACACUGCCAAUCCCUGAUUUUUUUUCCCCAUCAAGCAUUAAGGCCAUAUAAAUGUAAGACCGAGAUUUGCUGGUUGCACGAAGUACGGACAUUGUUGACUUUUAGUUCAGAAGGGAUCUAGACACAUGACCUAACCAAUGAUUAAAAAGCAUGAUCACUAGAGAUGUCAAGACAGUGAUGCCAGGAAUCUUCAUCUGGGGCUUUCUCAAGGAGUCAUCACCUUGAAGUAGAAUGUGUUAUUACUUCCAUAUGCCAGAGGCUUGACCAUGAAAAAGUCGAUAAAUUCUCUAAGAAUGUCAUUAAAUUCUGAAUUCAAUUCAUGAUCUGCCACAAAUACUUCAAAUUCAACUUAAAAUCAACCCUAGAAGGGUUUUCUCGCCAAGAAUCACCUUGAAGUAGAAUCAUGAUUUCAAGUGCCAGCGGUGGCGGACUGCACCCACUGGCACAUACCGAGCUGGGCCAAUACCAGUAUAUGGCACAAGUAGAUGUCAACUGGAUCCAAUUUUCAGAAUAUGUUAAUUAGAAAGGAUUUCUUUAAAAAAAAAUGCUUGAGCUUAUAGAAAGGCACAUCUGCUGAUACUGCAUGGCACAACAUGUCCUGUGCCAGUGACUGGCACCAAUACUGGAAUUGAUGCCUAAAUCUUUUGAGUAAAAAAUGCAUUAUUACAUUCAACAUACAGAGGUUUAAUCAAGAAAACUUCUAAGCAUUUCAUUGAAUUCUGAAUUCAACUCAUGACUUGCCACAAAGACCUCAACGCAACCUUAAACUCAAUCCAAAUAAAAUUAAUACUUUCCUGACCUAACAUAUUAUCGAACUAAGACUUCUUUAGACAUUAAUGCUCAAAAUAGGACUAAGUUCACACAAUAUAGAACUCCUCAUCUCGUCUUAGACUCGCAUAACAAUUAAAAAUGCCACAUGACUUAAAAUAUAUUUCAUGGAGAACCCAACAAGAUUCUAAAUAGAAUUCUAAAGAUACAUCUCAACAAUUGCAACAAAUACCAAAUACCUAAUCAUAUCCUUAGACUAUUAGUGUCCCAAAUUCAUUUUCCUCAAUUGCAUAGUUAAGUCAUUAUAUGACCAGGCUUCUUAAUUGGAAGAAUUAUGGUUAGUUUUCCUUCAUCUAGCAUGUGGUGUGAACACUACAAAAGAGAGUCCUUUACAUGGCAUUAUGAUCACCAUCAGAUCUAACCCGUUGUAUCUUUAAUCCAAAAGGGAGAUCUAUUGUUGACACAGAGUUCUGCUUUUGGUGUCUUGAACCUUCAUACUAGAUGGUGUGAAAGAAAUGAGGAUGCAUCCUCUAGUUUGGAAUUGCUCCUUAGCAGGAAGAGCUAGAGAAUGCAGGUUGGUCAAUAAAUAAUUCCUUCCCAAGUUGGCUCCAAAAUAAUCAUAUCUUCAUGAAAGAUUUUGUCUUUUAAAGAGUAGAUUUUCUGAUCCUGACCAGCAGCACCAUUUGUUAUCAGUCCAAUCAUGACAUAUUUUGGUGCAGAUGAAAUUAAAUAUGGCCCACUUGCCUGAACAAAUCCAAUUCAAACAUUCCCCCCCUCCUUUCAAACCUGGAAGAUUCAAGGAUAUGGAAGAAAUAGUUGGACAAUCAUAAACUAGAAAACAUUAAAAGGUAAUAUUCACUUCAUCUUACAUACAAUUCACAAUAAUCACUUUUAAUUUCACAACUAUGUCAGAGGAGGACUGAAAAUAGUCAAUCGCUAAUGCUUCAUAGACCAUAAAAAGUGUUUAUCAGUAUAAGUGAUAAAAUACAAAAUUGUUCAUUUGCUAUUCAAUGCAUUUCUAUCAAGAAUGACUACCAAGCAUAACAAACUACUCGUUUUCUUUUAAAUGCUAUAAGAAAAAUAAAAGUCUAUCGUUAUAUACCAAUACUAGUUUAAUCUAAAUAUAUUCAUCAGAACUAAAUAGGCCAAGCUGAAAAGAAACAUGACAUUUAUUGCCUCUAUCCUCAAGACAUAAAAACCAUGAAAUCUCAUUCUUAAGUAUGGUGGGACCUGUUGGACCAGUUUUGAUUCAUGGUUGGAAUAAUUCAUUUCCACCAAUUUUUGAUAUCCAUGAUCUAGGAAUUUGAUAUGUCUGUAGAGUGUUGGAAUGUCUAACUCAUAUUGACUUGCCAAUAUGUAUCAACAAGGGUUGUCCAAGAUGAAUGCAAGUGUGCUGAUAAGGAGCAACCAUGUUAUAUUCUUUUGGGAGGUUGGAAAGGAAGAGAGAUAUCAUUUCAAACAAAUUUGUUUAAUUAGAGGGAACUCCAGUCGCCUCAAGCAAUAAUGAUGUAGAGAUCAAGGAAAUUUCUGGUAUUUGGUAAGAAUAAGAAUGAAGCUUUCCUUGAAAAUAAUUUAGUCUCCAGAAGCAAAAACUUCAUGUAGGAAGUCGUUUCCAAUAUAAUUAAACCAUCCAAAUAGUCAUACCAGGUCUGAGAAAAGUUAAAGUAAACUUUCAACAGAAUUUUGGAAUACAACAGCACAAAAUUAGAACAGAAAAGUUUCUCUUCUGAUAAGUAAUAUUGCUAAUAGGGACUUUAAUUAGAGUUUAAGUAGCCUUCACUAUUUGGUUUUCAUAUAGUUUCUCCCGAAAGUAACUUAAACUACAAUAAGAAAACUUCAAGUGAGGAGUCCUUGUUUCUUUUAUAAUGAGCUCUCCCAACUACUAUACCAGUUGAUAGAAAAAUUAAUAAAAUAUUAUUCGCAACAAAGAUAGCUCAACCUAACAAUAACAAGACAAUUCAAA
rnacentral:lncRNA from 1 species